rnacentral:rRNA from 1 species
AGGGCGUACGGCGGAUGCCUUGGCCAUAUCAGCCGAAGAAGGACGCGAUAAGCUGCGAUAAGCUGCGGUGAGGUGCAAGUAACCAGUGACCCGCAGAUUUCCGAAUGGGGAAACCCGGCAGUAGUAGUACUGUCACCUCUCGAAUGGGAGGAGGGCACCCGGUGAACUGAAACAUCUAAGUAGCCGGAGGAAGAGGAAUCAAAAGAGAUGCCCCCAGUAGCGGCGAGCGAAGCGGGCAAAGCCCAAACCGGAGCGGGAAACCGCACCGGGGUUGAGGACUACCAACAAGUACCUAGAUGAAGUCGAAUCAGGUGGGAACCUGAGCCAGAGACGGUGAGAGCCCGGUAGACGUAAAGAAGGGUAUGGGGUAGUAUCCAGAGUACCACGGGGCACGAGGAACCUUGUGGGAAGCAGGGGGGACCACCCUCCAAGGCGAAAUACUGAUAUGGACCGAUAGCGCAUAGUACCGUGAGGGAAAGGUGAAAAGAACCCCGGGAGGGGAAUGAAAGAGAACCUGAAACCGUAUGUCUACAAGCAGUCGAAGCACCGUAUGCGUGCGACGGCGUGCCUAUUGAAGAAUGAACCGGCGAGUUAUUUCAUCCGGCGAGGUUAAGCGGAAAACGCGGAGCCGAAGCGAAAGCGAGUCUGAACAGGGCGACAAGUCGGAUGGAAUAGACCCGAAACCACAGUGAUCUAUCCAUGCCCAGGUUGAAGCACAGGUAAAAAUGUGUGGAGGACCGAACCAGUGAGCGUUGAAAAGCUUUUGGAUGAGGUGUGGAUAGGGGUGAAAUGCCAAUCGAACGUGGAGAUAGCUGGUUCUCCCCGAAAUAGCUUUAGGGCUAGCCUCAUGGCAAGAGUGCAGGCGGUAGAGCACUGAACAGGGUAGGGGCCUAUCCGGCUACCGAACCUAAUCAAACUACGAAUGGCUGUACUUAUCCAUGGGAGUCAGACUGCGAGUGAUAAGACCCGUAGUCAAGAGGGAAACAGCCCAGACCAACAGCUAAGGUCCCCAAUGCCGUACUAAGUGGUAAAGGAUGUGGAGUUUCGAAAACAACCAGGAUGUUGGCUUAGAAGCAGCCACCAUUAAAAGAGUGCGUAAUAGCUCACUGGUCGAGAGACUCUGCGCCGAAGAUGACCGGGGCUAAAGUACGGAACCGAAGCUUUGGCAUGUAUGUAAAUACAUGGGUAGGGGAGCGUUCCUGCAUGGGCGAAGCCUGACCGGAAGGACAGGUGGACAGGCAGGAAGUGAGAAUGCCGGUAUGAGUAGCGAAAAGAAAGGUGAGAAUCCUUUCCACCGAAAGCCUAAGGGUUCCUGGGCAACGAUCGUCGACCCAGGGUAAGUCGGGACCUAAUCCGAGGCGAAGACGCAUAGGAGAUGGACAACAGGUUGAAAUUCCUGUACCGACGUCGUCUGUUUGAGCGAUGGAGUGACACAAGAAGGAAAGUUCGCAUGCGAUUGGAAGAGCAUGUCUAAGCAGGUAGGUUGAAUACCAGGCAAAUCCGGUAUUCUAAAAGCCGAGAAGUGAUAGGGAGCCUGUAGAAAUACAGGUGAAGGAACCGGGACUCGAUUGUCAAGAAAAGCUUCUAGUGAGGACGACGCCGCCCGUACCAAAACCGACACAGGUAGGCAAGAAGAGAAUUCUAAGGUGCGCGGGAAAACCCUCGUUAAGGAACUCGGCAAAAUGUAUCCGUAACUUCGGGAAAAGGAUAACCCAGAGUACGUGAAGGAAAGAAACAUCCGGAGCGGGAAUGGGUGGCACAAGAGAGGCCCAAGCGACUGUUUACCACAAACACAGGCGUCUGCUAAAGAGAACGGCGGCCGUAACUAUAACGGUCCUAAGGUAGCGAAAUUCCUUGUCGGGUAAGUUCCGACCCGCACGAAAGGUGUAACGAUUUGGGCACUGUCUCAACGAGGGACCCGGUGAAAUUGAAGUACCUGUGAAGAUGCAGGUUACCCGCGACUGGACAGAAAGACCCCAUGGAGCUUUACUGUAACCUGAGAUUGAAUUUUGGUAGAAGAUGUACAGGAUAGUUGGGAGACGUAGAAGCGCGCACGCCAGUGUACGCAGAGUCGAUGGUGGGAUACCAACCUUGUUUUAUUGAAAUUCUAACGAGAGCCGUAACGAGGCUGCGGACAGUCUCAGGCGGGCAGUUUGACUGGGGCGGUCGCCUCCGAAAGAGCAACGGAGGCGCCCAAAGGUUCCCUCAGCGCGGACGGAAACCGCGCGAAGAGUGUAAAGGCAGAAGGGAGCUUGACUGCGAGACGGACAGGUCGAGCAGGGACGAAAGUCGGGCUUAGUGAUCCGGUGGUAGAGAGUGGAAUUGCCAUCGCUCAACGGAUAAAAGCUACCCUGGGGAUAACAGGCUUAUCUCUCCCAAGAGUCCAUAUCGACGGGGAGGUUUGGCACCUCGAUGUCGGCUCAUCACAUCCUGGGGCUGUAGUAGGUCCCAAGGGUUGGGCUGUUCGCCCAUUAAAGUGGUACGCGAGCUGGGUUCAGAACGUCGUGAGACAGUUCGGUCCCUAUCCAUCGCGGGCGCAAGAAACUUGAAAGGGGCUGCUCCUAGUACGAGAGGACCGGAGUGGACGAACCAAUGGUGUAUCGGUUAUGCCGCCAGGCGUACAGCCGAGUAGCUACGUUCGGGACGGAUAAACGCUGAAAGCAUCUAAGCGUGAAACCAGCCUAAAGAUGAGGUUUCU